AUAGUACUUUCUCCGUCCGAAAAUAUUUGUCAUCAAAAUGGAUAGAAAAAGAUAUAUUUAGAACUAAAAUACAUCUAGAUACAUCCUCUUUUAUUCAUUUUAAUGACAAGUAUUUUCAGACGGAAAGAGUAACAU
rfam:Triticum urartu cultivar G1812 contig240582, whole genome shotgun sequence.